UACGUAGGGGGCAAGCUUUGUCCGGAUUUAUUGGGCGUAAAGAGCGUGUAGGCGGCUAGAUAGGUCCGUUGUGAAAACUCGAGGCUCAACCUCGAGACGUCGAUGGAAACCAUCUGGCUAGAGUCCGGAAGAGGAGAGUGGAAUUCCUGGUGUAGCGGUGAAAUGCGCAGAUAUCAGGAAGAACACCCGUGGCGAAGGCGGCUCUCUGGUACGUGACUGACGCUGAGACGCGAAAGCGUGGGGAGCGAACAGG
rnacentral:rRNA from 1 species